CCUANGGGUGGCUGCAGUGGGGAAUAUUGCGCAAUGGGCGAAAGCCUGACGCAGCGACGCCGCGUGUGGGAUGAAGGUCUUCGGAUUGUAAACCACUGUCGGGAGGGACGAAGCUCUGACGGUACCUCCAAAGGAAGCACCGGCUAACUCCGUGCCAGCAGCCGCGGUAAUACGGGGGGUGCAAGCGUUGUUCGGAAUCAUUGGGCGUAAAGAGCGUGUAGGCGGCUGGAUAAGUCAGAUGUGAAAUCCCUGGGCUCAACCCAGGAAGUGCAUUUGAAACUGUUCGGCUAGAGUAGGGGAGAGGGAAGUGGAAUUCCUGGUGUAGAGGUGAAAUUCGUAGAUAUCAGGAGGAACACCGGUGGCGAAGGCGACUUCCUGGCCCUAUACUGACGCUGAGACGCGAGAGCGUGGGGAGCAAACAGGAUUAGAUACCCUGNUANUC
rnacentral:rRNA from 1 species